GUUGCCAGCAUUCAGUUGGGCACUCUAAGGUGACUGCCGGCUAAAAAGUCGGAGGAAGGUGGGGAUGACGUCAAAUCAUCAUGCCCCUUAUGACCUGGGCUACACACGUGCUACAAUGGGCGGUACAAAGGGUCGCGAACCCGCGAGGGGGAGCCAAUCCCAAAAAGCCGCUCUCAGUUCGGAUUGCAGGCUGCAACUCGCCUGCAUGAAGCCGGAAUCGCUAGUAAUCGCGGAUCAGCAUGCCGCGGUGAAUACGUUCCCGGGCCUU
rnacentral:rRNA from 1 species